AAACAAAUCAAAAAAAAUUUAAAUAUAAAAUGACCAUUAAAAUCAUGGAUCGAAUAUUCCGAUACAAAAUUUAGGAAUAAUUGAUAAAAAUGGAAUACAAACUAGCAUUCAAUCCAGGAUGAAGCUUCAAUUAUACUUUUUCCAAAAGCAAGUCAGUGCUUCUACCAUGGCCAUGGUGUUCCGACCACAAGGCCAUAGGGCGCAAGCGAAACAACUCAAGCACACCGGAAGCGCUUGCAAUUAUUGCCUCCAACAAGCCCAACUCAGGCAGCACCAAAAAGAAAUACGCAUCGCUUUCCUUUGGCCGAUGACCCAG
rnacentral:lncRNA from 1 species